rnacentral:rRNA from 1 species
UACGAAGGGGGCUAGCGUUGCUCGGAAUCACUGGGCGUAAAGCGCACGUAGGCGGCUUUUUAAGUCAGGGGUGAAAUCCUGGAGCUCAACUCCAGAACUGCCUUUGAUACUGAGAAGCUUGAGUCCGGGAGAGGUGAGUGGAACUGCGAGUGUAGAGGUGAAAUUCGUAGAUAUUCGCAAGAACACCAGUGGCGAAGGCGGCUCACUGGCCCGGUACUGACGCUGAGGCACGAAAGCCAGGGGAGCAAACGGG